GGCCCUAUGGUCAAGUGGUUAAGACACCGCCCUUUCAAGGCGGUAACGGGGGUUCGAAUCCCCCUAGGGUCACCA
rnacentral:tRNA from 1 species